ACUACUCUGUGCACAUGCCGAACUUGGUUGGCCAAGUACUGGUGGGGGCAUGACCACCAUCUGUUGCUGCCCCACCUCUUGGGAGACAGGAAUCAUAAGUCGGCCCGACUGCUGCUGCUCCGCAAGAGUUGCAAAAAAAUAAAUCCUUGAACCUUGCUUCCAUUGCACUCCCUGCUGCUGCCACAAUUUCUUCGUUAUAGUGGUCAUGGCUCCUAUACCUAGCCCUGUCCUUGUCGAACCCAUCUCUGAUGCUCAACUUAGAGGACAUACCUCUAACACGGCCUCCAUGCUCUUUAGACCCAAUGGCUGUACUGAGCACAUCCACCUCCCUAUUGGGUUUGAACUCUCCUUUUUUUUUGUAGUUUGACAAGUUUUAACAUUCUUUCUGCCACUACUUCCGUCUCGGGUUGAUCAAAUUUUGGUUUGCCUUCAACUAUCUUUGGCUUUCUCGCUUCAAGCCACUGCCAUCCAUGGUCGUCCAAUCCAUCAUAAGGGUCGGGUUGGCCGGCAGCUAUUGCCGCCUCUCUUUGACGCCUCCACUGGUCGAUCUUCCUUUGGUACCCACCUAGCCCAAGACAGACUUUAUGUAUGUUGCUCUUUGCUAAUUUAGUCUGCUUCUGGCUUAGGGCUACAACUUCUUCUGUGGUCUUCUGCCGAACAAACUCUUCCAUUGUGCUGGUGUGAUGUCCCCAUAAUCUGCGAAUGGCGUUCCACCCUUCUGGACAUACCGUGUAUUCAGUUCGCUCUUCCACCGGCGGAAUGUUUCACCCAGCAUCUUCAGAGCAUAACGCCUAACUUGUUCUCUAGUUCCUCUAGGAAGAAUAAAAGUUCUGCUCAACAUUUGCCACAUCGCUUCAACAAGGGGCCAACUUGGGAUCGUUGGAUCCAAAACCAUCUUUGUCCUUAUUAUAGCACCGAUAGCAUUCCAAAACUUUGCAACAAUCUACGGAGGUUCUAUGGGCUCUCCUGCCAUGCUAAUUACAUUAACAGUAAAUUGCCUUUCGGGGUACUGGUUUCUGCCUCGCUGACCCUGUUUCCUUUUGUUUUGUACGUUAGAGGCUGUACUUGCAUGUUCGGGGCCCGAGCUUUCAUUGUCUUCCUCUAUGGGGCUAGGGGCUUGGCGUCGGCACUUACCCCUUCCUAUCCGCGCCUGCAUGGUUCACGAUUCAUCAAGUCCUAAUGCGUAGUCUAUGAAAAUAAAUGGGUGUGGAUCGAGCGGAUCCUGCCACCUGCCGUCCACCCAAGCCCCUUGUCUAACCCUAGGGCCACCCUCGUCCCCACUUUCAGACUUAUCCGUCGCGGAUUGGACAUCGACGUCGGCUUGGGUCUCCAACUCCAUUUGGGAUGCAAUUUUUCGAAGCUUGUUUUGCAUCUCUACGUCAUCCCUUCGAGGGGAGGAUGACAACGCGGGAUCCAUCUAUGACUUCUACACAGAUCACGACGAACAUUUCACAUUUAAUAUAUAAUUGCUUGAAUAGAAAUGCUAUAAAUGCAGAUUUCAUAAGUACAAUAUGAUUCAAUAUUACUACAAAUAUAUAUAUAUAUAUAUAUAAAGUACAAUAUGAUUCAAAUUACAA